rnacentral:SRP_RNA from 1 species
UGACCGGACCUGGUGACCGGAGUCCAUGAACUCCGCCAGGGCCGGAAGGCAGCAACGGUAGUGGUCCCUUCGGGGUACCGGGUCUCGGUCAUCG